AUGUACUUUCAGAUCUCUACUAUCACUACUAACACUCGGAGAGCAUGCUAUGUACGUCGAAGGAAGGCCUGCCCCACAAAUCUAAGGCCUGUCCCUCUGACCUCUACUACUACGCUCUCUAUUCCAGUUGGUCUCUGGAACUGCCAGUCUGCUGUUAACAAAGCAGACUUCAUUUCUUCUAUUGCUACUCAUUCCGGUCUCAACCUCAUGGCACUGACUGAGACUUGGAUCAAACCUGAAGACACUGCCACUCCCGCAGCCCUCUCCACUCAUUUCACUUGUUCCCACACCCCUCGUACGACUGGGAGGGGUGGAGGUACUGGUCUCCUUAUAUCGAAAAAUUGGAAAUUUGAUCUUCAACCAAAACCUACAGGUAACGGUUCAUUUGAAUCACAUGCUGUUACUGUAACCCACCCUGUUAAAAUCCACUUUGUGGUCAUUUAUCGUCCCCCAGGUCAAUUGGGAAACUUCUUGGAGGAGUUGGACGUGCUGCUAUCAAAUUAUCCUGAAGAUGGUACUCCUCUGGUACUGCUUGGUGACUUCAACAUCCACCUAGAUAAACCCCAGGCUGCUGACUUCAACACUCUGCUCGCCUCAUUUGAUCUCAAGCGAGUCUCUACUACAGCGACUCACAAAUCGGGCAACCAACUGGACCUCAUCUACACGCGCUGUUGCUCAGUGGACAACACUUUAGUUACUCCACUGCACACCUCAGACCACUUCCUCAUUACUGCUAACCUAGCACUUACUCCUGAAGCGGCACACGCUCCAACGCAGGUCACCUUUCGACGGAACCUACGCUCACUCUCUCCAUCUCGCCUAUCCUCUGUGGUUUCAUCCUCACUUCCUUCACUCUCGCAGUUUUCAGCUCUGGACACGAACAGUGCUACGGACACUUUUUGCUCCACUCUAACCUCUUGCUUGGACAACUUUUGCCCACUGUCGUCUAGACCAGCACGCACCACCCCAUCUGCCCCCUGGCUGUCUGAUGUUCUCCGUGAACAUCGCUCUAAACUCAGGGCUGCAGAGAGGAAAUGGCAUAAAUCAAGAAACUCUACCAAUCUCAGUGUGUAUCAGUCUCUCCUCUCUUCCUUCUCUGCAAAUGUCUUCACUGCUAAAACAUCAUACUACCACAACAAAAUUAACAACUGUUGUGACGCUCGGACACUCUUCAAACUUUCUCUUCUUAAUCCGCCUCCACCUCCUCCUCCAUCGACUCUUACAGCUGACGACUUUGUUGGUUCUUGUCUUAUUUGUGAAGAAAACUGCAGUGACCAAUUCUCCACACCGCAGACUGAGGAUAACUUCACAAUGACUAAUGCACACUCUCUCUCCUCCUUCUCUCCACUCUCAGAGACGGACGUUUCCAAACUUAUCCUGUCCAGUCAUCCUACUACUUGUCCACUUGAUCCGAUCCCCACUCACCUCCUUCAUGCGAUUUCUUCUUCAGUCAUACCUUCACUUACUCACAUUAUCAACUCCUCUCUUCACUCUGGAACAUUUCCCUCAGCAUUUAAGCAGGCUCGGGUAAGCCCACUGCUGAAGAAACCAUCUCUAAAUCCAGCACUUCUAGAAAACUACAGACCGGUAUCCCUUCUUCCAUUCAUUGCAAAGACACUUGAACGAGCUGUGUUCAACCAGCUCUCUAUGUUUCUUGUACAGAACAACCUCCUGGACAGCAACCAAUCUGGCUUCAAAAGCGGCCACUCAACUGAUACAGAACAACCUCCUGGACAGCAACCAAUCUGGCUUCAAAAGCGGCCACUCAAAUGA
rnacentral:lncRNA from 1 species